AGGAAUAUUGGUCAAUGGGCGGAAGCCUGAACCAGCCAAGUCGCGUGAGGGAAGACGGUCCUAUGUAUUGUACACUGCUUUUGCAGGGGAGCAAUAUCCGGCACGCUUGCCGGGAGGGAGAGUACCCUGAGACAAAGCAUCGGCUAACGCCGUGCCACCAGCCGCGGUAAUACGGAGGAUGCAAGCGUUAUCCGGAUUUAUUGGGUUUAAAGGGUGCGUAGGCGGACCAGUAAGUCAGCGGUAAAAAUGCGGUGCUCAACGCCGUAGUGCCGUUGAAACUGCAGGUCUUGAGUGAGCGAGAAGUAUGCGGAAUGCGUGGUGUAGCGGUGAAAUGCAUAGAUAUCACGCAGAACUCCGAUUGCGAAGGCAGCAUACCGGCGCUCAACUGACGCUGAGGCACGAAAGCGUGGGGAUCGAACAGG
rnacentral:rRNA from 1 species